UACGGGGGGGGCAAGCGUUGUUCGGAAUUACUGGGCGUAAAGCGCGUGUAGGCUGCUCGGAAAGUCGGAUGUGAAAGCCCUGGGCUUAACCCAGGAAGUGCACUCGAAACUCCCGAGCUCGAGUCCUGGAGAGGAAGGCGGAAUUCUCGGUGUAGAGGUGAAAUUCGUAGAUAUUCGGAAGAACACCAGUGGCGAAGGCGGCUCACUGGCCCGGUACUGACGCUGAGGUGCGAAAGCGUGGGGAGCAAACAGG
rnacentral:rRNA from 1 species